UGGGUUAAUUUUCACCAAAUUUCUUCAGGAAAAUUCACACAGUGUAUUUUGUGAGUGUGCUGCAUUUAUUCCAGCACAUAUUUUUGGCUAAAUAGGCAAAGAAAAAUUUUACUAGGGGUGUCAGUUUCAAUGGAGUCAGUUUGU